rnacentral:tRNA from 1 species
GGGCCCAUAGCUCAGUCGGUAGAGCAGCGGACUCAUAAUCCGUUGGUCCCUGGUUCGAGUCCAGGUGGGCCCAUCA